AUGUACCACGAGCUCGUCGCCGCAACGAGCAACUUCGCGGAGGAGGAGAAACUCGGGCGAGGCGGCUUCGGGAGCGUUUACCGAGGUCAUCUCACACUCACGCACGCAGCCGCGGUCGGUGGUGACCAGGACCGUCGUGCUGUGGCGGUGAAGGUGCUGUCGGCAGAGUCGUCGUCCCAGGGGAGGAAGGAGUUCGAGGCAGAGGUGAGGAUCAUAAGCAGACUGAAGCAUCGCAACCUUGUACAACUGCUGGGUUGGUGCGACAGCCGCAAGGGGCUCCUGCUUGUCUACGAGCUUGUUGCGGAGGGCAGCCUAGACAGGCACCUCUACAACAACGAUGACAGCUAUCUGACAUGGCCACAGAGGUACAACAUCAUCCUUGGCUUGGGAUCUGCGUUACGCUACCUCCACGGAGAGUGGGAGCAGUGCAUCCUCCAUGGUGACAUCAAGCCGAGCAACAUCAUGCUCGACUCGUCGCUCAGCACCAAGCUCGGGGACUUCGGGUUGGCCCGCCUCAUCGACCAUGGCGCUCGGUCAGUGCAUACCACUAAGGCUGUGCUCGGCACUGUCGGGUACAUCGACCCGGAGUUUGUCAACACGCGCCGACCGUGCACCGAGUCCGACGUGUACAGCUUCGGUGUCGUCCUCCUGGAGAUCGUCUCCGGCCGCCGGCCGGUGAUCGAGACUGUUGAGACUUCCUUCACGCUGCUCAGCUGGGUGUGGAACCUGUACGGAAGGGACGUGAUCCUUGAUGCGGCGGAUGAGCGGCUGAGGGGCGACGAGGCGGACGAGCGGUGGAUGGAGCGAGUACUUGUCGUUGGGCUCUGGUGCGCGCACCCGGACCGGAGCGAGCGGCCAUCCAUGGCGCAGGCCAUGCACGUCCUGCAGUCCGACGAGGCGAGGCUGCCGACGCUCCCACGGCACAUGUACAGGGCUGCACAGGAUCUUGCGUCGUACGGGUCUUUCUCCGUUGACAGCUCAGGCUCCGGUUGUGUUCGCUCUUCUUCGGUCAGCACCGGCAACACCACUGUUUCUUCCGAGUCGUCCUCGACCGCGCUGCUACGACAUUCCAAGGAUCAAGUUAAUUGA
rnacentral:rRNA from 1 species